rnacentral:misc_RNA from 1 species
GUGAAUCAUCAAAUCUUUGAACGCAAAUUGCACUCUCCUCGGAGAGUAUGCCUGUUUGAGGGUCAGCCUAUAAAAAAUCGACAUCGUUGCUGUUCCGCGGUGACGUUCGUCGGAAAUUGGGUUAUCUUAAACCUUUUGGUUUAAGCGACUUAAAAUUUUCCUUUUGAUUCCUUGACGUUUUUUAAGUUUUUUUCCUUUACCCUUUUAGGUAAUCAA